GGAGGAAAGUAGGGGAUCGCAAGACCUCGCGCUAAAGGAGCGGCCGAUGUCUGAUUAGCUAGUUGGUGGGGUAAAGGCUUACCAAGGCAACGAUCAGUAGUUGGUCUGAGAGGACGGCCAACCACACUGGGACUGAGACACGGCCCAGACUCCUACGGGAGGCAGCAGUGGGGAAUUUUGGACAAUGGGCGAAAGCCUGAUCCAGCCAUGCCGCGUGAGUGAAGAAGGCCUUCGGGUUGUAAAGCUCUUUUAGUCGGAAAGAAAGAGUUGCAAUGAAUAAUUGUGAUUUAUGACGGUACCGACAGAAAAAGCACCGGCUAACUACGUGCCAGCAGCCGCGGUAAUACGUAGGGUGCGAGCGUUAAUCGGAAUUACUGGGCGUAAAGGGUGCGCAGGCGGUCUUGCAAGUCAGAUGUGAAAGCCCCGGGCUUAACCUGGGAAUUGCGUUUGAAACUACAAAGCUAG
rnacentral:rRNA from 1 species